rnacentral:rRNA from 1 species
UACGAAGGGAGCUAGCGUUACUCGGAAUCACUGGGCGUAAAGGGCGCGUAGGUGGCCUUCUAAGUCGAACGUGAAAUCCCCGGGCUCAACCCGGGAACUGCGUCCGAUACUGGAAGGCUUGAAUCCGGGAGAGGGAUGCGGAAUUCCAGGUGUAGCGGUGAAAUGCGUAGAUAUCGUGAGGAAGACCAGUGGCGAAGGCGGGUCUCUGGACAGUUCCUGACACUGAGGCACGAAGGCCAGGGGAGCAAACGGG